UGAUACAGUAGUGUCGUGUACUCGUAUAUAUAGGUGUGUGUGUUACUCCGCCGCCAGUCACUACACCAUAAGUGACAGCGCUAAAACACAGUGAUCAGUGUGUGGUGACGGACCAUAAUGCGGUACACUCUUAAGACACUACACUUACUAAAACCUAUACUGCCACAGACUUUACUACAUGGACACAGUACACGACACAGUGACACAUAUAUGACACACCUGUGGUUACUUGUGUCACAGUGAAACGUUUAUGACACACCUGUGAUUACUUGUGUCAUACUGAAACGUUUAUGACACACCUGUGAUUAUUUGUGUCAUACUGAAACGUUUAUGACACCCAAUGUUACUUGUGUCAUACUGAAACGUUUAUGACACACCUGUGAUUAUUUGUGUCAUACUGAAACGUUUAUGACACACCUGUGAUUAUUUGUGUCAUACUGAAACGUUUAUGACACCCAAUGUUACUUGUGUCAUACUGAAACGUUUAUGACACACCUGUGAUUAUUUGUGUCAUACUGAAACGUUUAUGACACCCAAUGUUGUGUCAUACUGAAACGAUUAUGACACACCUGUGAUUACUUGUGUCAUACUGAAACGUUUAUGACACCCAAUGUUACUUGUGUCAUACUGAAACGUUUAUGACACACCUGUGAUUACUUGUGUCAUACUGAAACGUUUAUGACACCCAAUGUUACUUGUGUCAUACUGAAACGUUUAUGACACACCUGUGAUUACUUGUGUCAUACUGAAACGUUUAUGACACCCAAUGUUACUUGUGUCAUACUGAAACGUUUAUGACACACCUGUGAUUACUUGUGUCAUACUGAAACGUUUAUGACACCCAAUGUUACUUGUGUCAUACUGAAACGCCUAUGACACACCUGAAGUUACCUGUAGACGACAGAAUAUUUCAGCUGUACUGGCACACCAAGACAAUGUCACCUCCACCAUAACCACAGUCGCCCUAAUACACUAAAACUACAGGCUUUCCAUGUAAUUAAAGAAACUAAAUUAAUACAAAUAAAUUAAGCACUAAAUAUUGCCUCAUUGCGUACUGUAGUAAGAUGUAACAAGCAUUUUAUAUCAUUUAGUGUAUUUGUGAAUAUUAAUUGUUGUGUGACUGUUGCUCGAUUUACGCACGCACCGUAUUUCGCCGUAUUACUGUACUCCAAUAAGUGCAUUUCAGAGAAGAGUGUGGAGUACAGUCAUGAAGCUGCUACAGUCGCUCAUGUUGAUGGUUGCCACUACUACUGUCGCUCUUCAGAUUCCUGAAUGCUCAAAAGCCGUGCAAGAUGACCAAAAGGAGAAACUUUGGGCCAAUUUAACAGAAGAUAACAUACAAAUAGUCAGUGUUACCUGCCCUCAUCUCUUUGAUAACACGGAAAGAGUAAAAUGCUGCCCUAACUUCACUCUGGCAGAAGCCAUCAAGAAGAGCAGUGAUGUCAACUUGACAGACUUUAGAUCACAUAUCGAACUGCUCAAAUAUUGUAAACCUUUUGAAUCUAUAACAAAACACACCACAUUCUGUCACAUUACGUUACAUGCUCAAAACUAUAAGCACUUGUUAUAUCUUUUCCUGGACCAGGAGUGUUCACGUUCGAAUCAUAAUAACCUAAAUAAUGUUGUUGGAAAUCUGCAUUGUAUACCUGUCACUCCACCACCCGCAGCUAUAACAUCAUUGAGUACACCUGUCACUCCACCACCCACAACUAUAACAUCAUUGAGUACACCUGUCACCA
rnacentral:lncRNA from 1 species